rnacentral:rRNA from 1 species
UACGUAGGGUGCAAGCGUUAAUCGGAAUUACUGGGCGUAAAGCGUGCGCAGGCGGUUUUGUAAGUUUGUCGUGAAAGCCCCGGGCUUAACCUGGGAAUUGCGAUGAAGACUGCAAGGCUUGAAUCUGGCAGAGGGGGGUAGAAUUCCACGUGUAGCAGUGAAAUGCGUAGAGAUGUGGAGGAACACCGAUGGCGAAGGCAGCCCCCUGGGUCAAGAUUGACGCUCAUGCACGAAAGCGUGGGGAGCAAACAGG